rnacentral:misc_RNA from 1 species
CGCACGCUACAUCCUGCUAUUACGGUUACAACGGACCGAGCUACUUGGCUUCACGCGAGCCCUCGCGGCGCUUCUCCGGGUCCCGGCCGGCGGCGGGGUCCCCGUGGCCGACGGCGACCUUGGCCACCUCAGUGGCCGGCGUGCCGGACCUGGCCUUCUGGUACAAGACAAGGUAGCCGACGACGCCGACGAUACCGAACCCCACCAGCGCCAUGGUGCCCGGGCCGUACGGCAGCGGGCGGCGGCCGCGCUGGUGCAGCACCUCUCCGGGGCCCCGGCCCGGCGGGCGCAUCGACUCCUCCACCCCUGCCGCGCGCACCUCCUCCGCGCUCAUCUUGUGCGUGUCGGCGUUGCGGCGCCACUCCUCCGUGCCGCUCUUGGCCAUUGUUUGUUGCUCUGCUAGCUCUCCCCUGCGUUUGUGAGCU